AGUGAACGCUGGCGGUAGGCCUAACACAUGCAAGUCGAACGGCAGCACAGUAAGAGCUUGCUCUUACGGGUGGCGAGUGGCGGACGGGUGAGGAAUACAUCGGAAUCUACUUUUUCGUGGGGGAUAACGUAGGGAAACUUACGCUAAUACCGCAUACGACCUACGGGCGAAAGCAGGGGAUCUUCGGACCUUGCGCGAUUGAAUGAGCCGAUGUCGGAUUAGCUAGUUGGCGGGGUAAAGGCCCACCAAGGCGACGAUCCGUAGCUGGUCUGAAAGGAUGAUCAGCCACACUGGAACUGAGACACGGUCCAGACUCCUACGGGAGGCAGCAGUGGGGAAUAUUGGACAAUGGGCGCAAGCCUGAUCCAGCCAUACCGCGUGGGUGAAGAAGGCCUUCGGGUUGUAAAGCCCUUUUGUUGGGAAAGAAAAGCAGCAGGUUAAUACCCCGCUGUUCUGACGGUACCCAAAGAAUAAGCACCGGCUAACUUCGUG
rnacentral:rRNA from 1 species